rnacentral:rRNA from 1 species
CCCAGACUCCUACGGGAGGCAGCAGUGGGGGAUAUUGCACAAUGGGGGGAACCCUGAUGCAGCGACGCCGCGUGGGUGAAGGAGCGUUUCGGCGCGUAAAGCCCUCUCGGCAGGGAAGAAGGAGGACGGUACCUGACUAAGAAGCCCCGGCUAACUACGUGCCAGCAGCCGCGGUAAUACGUAGGGGGCAAGCGUUAUCCGGAUUUACUGGGUGUAAAGGGGGCGCAGACGGCAGCGCAAGCCAGGAGUGAAAGCCCGGGGCCCAACCCCGGGACUGCUCUUGGAACUGCGCGGCUGGAGUGCAGGAGGGGCAGGCGGAAUUCCUGGUGUAGCGGUGAAAUGCGUAGAUAUCAGGAGGAACACCGGUGGCGAAGGCGGCCUGCUGGACUGCGACUGACGUUGAGGCCCGAAAGCGUGGGGAGCAAACAGGAUUAGAUACCCGGGAUAA